rnacentral:rRNA from 1 species
UACGGAGGGUGCAAGCGUUAUCCGGAUUCACUGGGUUUAAAGGGUGCGUAGGCGGGCUUGUAAGUCAGUGGUGAAAGCCCGGGGCUUAACUCCGGAACUGCCGUUGAUACUGCAAGCCUUGAGUACAGUUGAGGUGGGCGGAAUACAUCAUGUAGAGGUGAAAUUCUUAGAUAUGAUGUAGAACACCGAUUGCGAAGGCAGCUCACUAAAGUGUAACUGACGCUGAGGCACGAAAGCGUGGGGAUCAAAC